rnacentral:lncRNA from 1 species
AUGAUCUCUGGAGGGCUCAGGAUAGGGGUUUUCCUCUGUCCUGGUCUUUUUAGAUCUCUCGGCGGCUUUCGAUACCAUCGACCAUGGUAUCCUACUGCGGCGGCUCCGGGGGUUGGGAGUGGGAGGCACCGUUUUACAGUGGUUCUCCUACCUCUCGGGCCACUUGCAGUCGGUGUUGGCAGGGGAGCAGAGGUCGACCCCAAGGCCCCUCACUUGUGGGGUGCCACAGGGGUCAGUCCUCUCACUCUCCUGUUCAACAUCUACAUGAAGCCGCUGGGCGAGAUCAUCCGUGGUUUUGGGGUGAGGUAUCACCAAUAUGCGGAUGAUACCCAGCUUUACAUCUCCACCCCAAACCAUAUCAGUGAUGCUCUCUCCGUGAUGUCCUGUUGUCUGGAUGCGGUGCAGAUCUGGAUGGGGAGGAAAAGGCUCCAACUCAACCCAGCUAAGACUGAGUGGCUGUACGUACCGGCAUCUCGGAUUACUCAGGAUAUACCAUCUUUGGUCAUGGGGGAGGACAGGGCGGAACCUGGGUGUCCUCCUGGAUUCACAGCUCAGUUUGGAGGAGCAGGUGGGAACUGUGACCAGGGGGGCCUUUGCCCAGGUUCAGCUGGUUCGCCAGCUCUGCCCUUACCUGAGCCAAGAUGCCCUAUGGACAGUCACUCAUGCGCUCGUCGCCUCCUGAAUCGACUACUGCAACGUUCUCUACAUGGGACUGCCCUUGCGGACCACCUGGAGGUUGCAGCUGGUGCAGAAUGCGGCUGCGUGGGUUGUGAUGGGGGUGUCCCGAUACUCCCAUGUUACACCCCUUCCUGCACAACCUGCGGUUGCCGGUUGCCAGUUGCCUUCCGGGUAAGAUUCAAGGUGUUAGUAACAACUUAUAAAGUCCUAAAUGGCUUGGGUCCAGGGUACUUGCGGGAACGCCUCCUGCCAGCAUCACAUUCCAAUCGCCCGGUACACUCCUACAGGCAGGGCCUCCUUGGGGUACCAUCAGUUAGGCAUUGUCGACUGGCGGUGCCCAGGGGUAGAGCCUUCUCUGUGGAAGCACCCGCCCUAUGGAACCAACUCCCUGUGGACUUCUGUUUAGCCCCCGAUCUCCGCUCCUUCUGCCGAGACCUGAAGACCUUGCUGUUCCAACAGGACGGUCUGGACUGA